rnacentral:lncRNA from 1 species
GUUUUGUCAGUUUGAGGACCUGCUAACAGUCUAAAAUCAGGAACAUAAUAUAUUUCAGACCUAGAGCUGGGGUCAGUAACUUAAGUAGUGGGGAGAGGGUGUUAUUUUGUAAGGUGUGGGCCAUUGGAUCCCUGCGUCAGCAGUUCAGCUAACGGUGUAGACACAGCACAGAGGUAACUAUAAACCAUACGGAGGUGGAGCAUUAUAGCUGUGUCCACUACAGUUAUGAAACAAACACCAGGGAUGGGCAGGUUAUUAAUAAACAUUUUUGUUAAUUUUCACUUGACAGAAGCACAAGAUCAAGGUACAAGCUCUGUGCAACAUGAUGAAAAAAUGGAAGAACCCUUAGACAGGAUUGAAUUGGAGUAUUUACGCCUAAAAGAAAAUGUGAAAAGCCUCGAAAUGGAGAUUUUGAGCCA